rnacentral:rRNA from 1 species
ACGUAGGGUGCAAGCGUUGUCCGGAAUCAUUGGGCGUAAAGAGCGUGUAGGCGGCCUGAUCAGUCCGCUGUAAAAGUCCAGGGCUCAACCCUGGAAGGCCGGUGGAUACUGUCAGGCUAGAGUCCGGAAGAGGCGAGUGGAAUUCCUGGUGUAGCGGUGAAAUGCGCAGAUAUCAGGAGGAACACCAAUGGCGAAGGCAGCUCGCUGGGACGGUACUGACGCUGAGACGCGAAAGCGUGGGGAGCAAACAGG